UGCGUAGGCGGACUAUUAAGUCAGUGGUGAAAUCCUGCAGCUCAACUGUAGAACUGCCAUUGAUACUGAUAGUCUGGAGUUUGGUUAAGGUAGGCGGAAUGUGUAAUGUAGCGGUGAAAUGCUUAGAUAUUACACAGAACACCGAUUGCGUAGGCAGCUUACUGAGCCGACACUGACGCCGAGGCACGAAAGCGUGGGGAUCGAACAGGAUUAGAUACCCUGGUAGUCC
rnacentral:rRNA from 1 species